UACGCAGGGGGCUAGCGUUGCUCGGAAUCACUGGGCGUAAAGCGCACGUAGGCGGCUUACUAAGUCAGGGGUGAAAUCCUGGAGCUCAACUCCAGAACUGCCUUUGAUACUGGUGAGCUUGAGUCCGGAAGAGGUGAGUGGAACUGCGAGUGUAGAGGUGAAAUUCGUAGAUAUUCGCAAGAACACCAGUGGCGAAGGCGGCUCACUGGUCCGGUACUGACGCUGAGGUGCGAAAGCGUGGGGAGCGAACAGG
rnacentral:rRNA from 1 species